rnacentral:rRNA from 1 species
ACGUAGGGGGCGAGCGUUGUCCGGAUUUACUGGGCGUAAAGCGCGUGCAGGCGGUCUGCUAAGUCCCGUGUUAAAGCCUCCGGCUCAACCGGAGAACGCCGCGGGAUACUGGCGGGCUUGAGGUAGGUAGAGGAUGAUGGAAUUCCCGGUGUAGCGGUGAAAUGCGUAGAUAUCGGGAGGAACGCCAGUGGCGAAGGCGGUCAUCUGGGCCGAUACUGACGCUGAAGCGCGAAAGUUAGGGGAGCAAACGGGA